rnacentral:lncRNA from 1 species
AGUUUAAUGCAUUUUUUGUCAGGAGUGUAGACUUCAGGAUGAGGCAGAAUCCAGUUACUUUGAUAAUAUGACACCAAACUGAAGGUACUGACAUGUCUGUUGUGUCCACAGGGAGAGACGGGUGAUACUGGGCCAACUGGUGCUGCUGGAGCUCAAGGUGCCCCGGGGGCCCGAGGACCUCCUGGUGAACCAGGCCUACAGGGACCGCUGGUAAACUCUGAAACUAACUUGUGUCAGAACUCUUGGUGACACAAGUGGGUGACCUUAACUCAUUCCUUGUGUUCUUGCAUUUAGGGUGAAAAGGGGUUGCCUGGCCCACAGGGUCCCCCUGGAAUAAAGGGAACACUGGGAGCCCAAGGGCCCCGGGGGCCGCCUGGAGAGAUCGGCCGAGAUGGUCCCAAGGGGAACUGUGGAGAUCCAGGGGUGGUUGGUCCUGUUGGUCCACCAGGCCUGACGGUGAGUGGAGUGCUACCUUUGUGUUAACCAUGCUAAUAUAAUUUGGACAGUCGUUAGACAAGAUGAUCAGAAAUAAAAAAGCUUGACACAAGGAAGUUAGAAUUAACAUUUUUCUCUCUAGUUUGUUAUCUUCACAGUUUUUUUUUUAAAGUCACAGUUUUAUUUAAUAUCGGUUUUAUUUUACUAUAUUAUUGCUAAUGAUACUGAUUUUAGCUAACAGUAAACCAAUGUAAUGACUCAAACCAAAGUUAACCAACAUUGACUUUCUCCACUAAUAGCCAACACUGAGCCAGUAGUUUGUUUUGGAGCUUCCUUAACUAAGGCAUUGGUUACUUUAUCAUCUGUGUGACAAUACUUCAAAGCUUUGCAAAGACUAUUUGGAACACUGGAAAUGGUAUUUAUAUAGCGCUUUUCUAGUCCCUAAGGACCCCAAAGCGCUUUACACAUCCAGUCAUCCACUCAUUCACACACCCAUUCACACACUGGUGAUGGCAAGCUACAUUGUAGCCACA